GAGUUUGAUUAUGGCUCAGGAUGAACGCUGGCGGCGUGCCUAAUACAUGCAAGUCGAGCGAACAGACGAGGAGCUUGCUCCUCUGACGUUAGCGGCGGACGGGUGAGUAACACGUGGAUAACCUACCUAUAAGACUGGGAUAACUUCGGGAAACCGGAGCUAAUACCGGAUAAUAUAUUGAACCGCAUGGUUCAAUAGUGAAAGACGGUUUUGCUGUCACUUAUAGAUGGAUCCGCGCCGCAUUAGCUAGUUGGUAAGGUAACGGCUUACCAAGGCAACGAUGCGUAGCCGACCUGAGAGGGUGAUCGGCCACACUGGAACUGAGACACGGUCCAGACUCCUACGGGAGGCAGCAGUAGGGAAUCUUCCGCAAUGGGCGAAAGCCUGACGGAGCAACGCCGCGUGAGUGAUGAAGGUCUUCGGAUCGUAAAACUCCGUUAUUAGGGAAGAACAAAUGUGUAAGUAACUAUGCACGUCUUGACGGUACCUAAUCAGAAAGCCACGGCUAACUACGUGCCAGCAGCCGCGGUAAUACGUAGGUGGCAAGCGUUAUCCGGAAUUAUUGGGCGUAAAGCGCGCGUAGGCGGUUUUUUAAGUCUGAUGUGAAAGCCCACGGCUCAACCGUGGAGGGUCAUUGGAAACUGGAAAACUUGAGUGCAGAAGAGGAAAGUGGAAUUCCAUGUGUAGCGGUGAAAUGCGCAGAGAUAUGGAGGAACACCAGUGGCGAAGGCGACUUUCUGGUCUGUAACUGACGCUGAUGUGCGAAAGCGUGGGGAUCAAACAGGAUUAGAUACCCUGGUAGUCCACGCCGUAAACGAUGAGUGCUAAGUGUUAGGGGGUUUCCGCCCCUUAGUGCUGCAGCUAACGCAUUAAGCACUCCGCCUGGGGAGUACGACCGCAAGGUUGAAACUCAAAGGAAUUGACGGGGACCCGCACAAGCGGUGGAGCAUG
rnacentral:rRNA from 1 species